rnacentral:lncRNA from 1 species
CAGAAUUCCGGCACGGCGGCUCCGUCGUGCUCCGGCGACGGUGCCACCGCCCACGGCGGUGAUCCGCCUCGGGUUGGCCGUUUUCGGGCAAAUUCGGCCAAACUUGCAUUGGUUCUUGUGAUAAAACACCCCUAGGGCCCUCGGUGGGCCAAAAAAUUCUAAAAAACUGAGACUUACCGGCAGCGAAGCUCUCAGGUUCGACAGCUCCCCCAGCGCAAGUUACGAU